rnacentral:rRNA from 2 species
ACAGUGGACGCGAGCAUCUUUGUUGUAAGUAAUGAAGAGCGUACGGUGGAUGCCUUGGCACCAGGAGCCGAUGAAGGACGUAGGAGGCUGCGAUAAGCCUCGGGGAGCUGUCAACCGAGCUGUGAUCCGAGGGUGUCCGAAUGGGGAAACCCAGCACGAGUGAUGUCGUGUUACCUGCACCUGAAUAUAUAGGGUGUGUGGAGGGAACGUGGGGAAGUGAAACAUCUCAGUACCCACAGGAAGAGAAAACAACAGUGAUUCCGUGAGUAGUGGCGAGCGAAAGCGGAUGAGGCCAAACUUUGUGCGUGUGAUACCCGGCAGGGGUUGCGUAUGGAGGGUUGUGGGGUUUGCAUUGUCGAUUCUGCCGGAUCGGCCGACAGUGAGAAAUUGUGGUGUUAGUCGAAGUGGUCUGGAACGGCCUGUCGUAGAGGGUGAGAGUCCCGUAGACGAAAACACUGCAACUGUCGUUGCGAAUACCCAAGUAGCAGCGGGCCCGUGAAAUCUGCUGUGAAUCUGUCGGGACCACCCGAUAAGCCUGAAUACUCCCUGGUGACCGAUAGCGGACUAGUACCGUGAGGGAAAGGUGAAAAGUACCCCGGGAGGGGAGUGAAAUAGUACCUGAAACCGUGCGCUUACAAUCCGUCAAAGCUGGUGAACAGUUUACUGUUGCUGGUGAUGGCGUGCCUUUUGAAGAAUGAGCCUGCGAGUUAGUGGCAUGUCGCGAGGUUAACCCGUGUGGGGUAGCCGUAGCGAAAGCGAGUCCGAAUAGGGCGUAUCACCGUAUGGUGUGUAGUGGCGUGUUCUAGACCCGAAGCGGAGUGAUCUACCCAUGGCCAGGUUGAAGCGACGGUAAGACGUCGUGGAGGACCGAACCCACUUAGGUUGAAAACUGAGGGGAUGAGUUGUGGGUAGGGGUGAAAGGCCAAUCAAACUCCGUGAUAGCUGGUUCUCCCCGAAAUGCAUUUAGGUGCAGCGUCACGUGUUUCUCACCGGAGGUAGAGCUACUGGAUGGUCUAGGGGGCCUACAAGCUUACCGAAAUCAGCCAAACUCCGAAUGCCGGUGAGUGAGAGCGUGGCAGUGAGACUGCGGGCGAUAAGGUUCGUAGUCGAGAGGGAAACAGCCCAGAUCGCCAGCUAAGGUCCCUAAGCGUGUACUAAGUGGAAAAGGAUGUGGGGUCGCGAAGACAACCAGGAGGUUGGCUUAGAAGCAGCCACCCUUGAAAGAGUGCGUAAUAGCUCACUGGUCAAGUGAUCCUGCGCCGACAAUGUAGCGGGGCUCAAGUACACCACCGAAGCUGCGGCACUCACACAACAGCCCCAUGCAAGUCUGCGGAUUUGUGUGCAGGUGUGUGGGUGGGUAGGGGAGCGUCGU